rnacentral:rRNA from 1 species
GAAGCGGCAACAGCUCAAAUUUGAAAUCUGACCCUUUAGGGUCCGAGUUGUAAUUUGCAGAGGGUGUUUCGGGCACGGUGCCGGUUUAAGUCCUUUGGAACAGGGUGUCAUAGAGGGUGAGAACCCCGUAUGUGACCGGUCGCCAAACCCAUGUGAAACCCCUUCGACGAGUCGAGUUGUUUGGGAAUGCAGCUCAAAAUGGGUGGUAAAUUUCAUCUAAAGCUAAAUAUUGGCCAGAGACCGAUAGCGCACAAGUAGAGUGAUCGAAAGAUGAAAAGCACUUUGGAAAGAGAGUCAAACAGCACGUGAAAUUGUUGAAAGGGAAGCGCUUGCGACCAGACUUGCUCGCGGGUGAUCAGCGGUGCUUUUCGCGCCGUGCACUCAUCCGCGAUCAGGCCAGCAUCGGUUCAGGCGGCCGGACAAAGACUCGGAGAAUGUAGCUCCCUCCGGGGAGUGUUAUAUCUCCUUGUGCAAUACGGCCAGCCGGGACCGAGGACCGCGCU